CAUAAAUAUUCGGUAGAAUAAAAGAAAAAGAGAGAAGAUGAGGAUAACGGAAGGCGGCACAAUUGAAAGAGACGACAUAAUUGUGCAGGAUCGGAAGCAUUGAAGAAUGAAAAAUCAUUGGAAAAGUAGUUUUCUUGAAUUCGGUUCUUCGGUGGAGAGUGCAACAAGUGUACCGAUGAAUUUGAAUCGUCCUCACCUCUAUCAAGUCUCGGCAUAUCAGGUUCAAGGGUGAACUAUUCAUUCGAGGUUGAGUUGGAUUCUCUCAGUCAAUACCUGAUGUCCUUAGUUUUCGGACACAAAUUACUUUAUUUCAUUUAUUUUGGUGUCUUUGAUACUCUUACACAUAGUAAUUGAAGAUUAGAUGUCCUUGUUGUGAUGACUGGGAAAAGAUAUUUAGUAUGUUUUUGAGCUUCCGCAUUAUGCUUGUAGUUUAUAAGUUGGGGUUAAAUUCAUUGGUUCUCCCACCUAGGAAGUUAAGUGUGGGUGCCACUCACGACUCGUUUUGGGUCAUGAAAAUUUUCUUGUAGCAGCAGUACCUGAUAGUAUGAUUAGAUAAAUAUAAAAAAUAUGUUUUCGUUUA